GACUGGCAACCCGUCACGGAACUCAGUGAGGACAAGCGCUAUAGAAAAUGGAUGCAUGGGAUGUUGGAAUUUCUCCAUUUUCUGAACUCUUGUUUCAAUAACACGAUUUUAUUUAGUAAAGUAAUGCUGUCUGGAGGACUGCCAUAGUGGAAGUCUGCAUGGAUGUAGCUCAAGUUCCCAUAGCUGAUUUCAUUUUGUUCUUCUUUAAGAAGAAACCAGUUGCAGCCAAUGUGCUUUCAUUUAAUCCAUUCAUGACGAGAUGAAUCAAUAAUCAAGUCCAUACAUAAUCAUUUUUUAGCAAAGUGACCACGGAGGAAAAAGUACUGUCACGACUCCGUGAAUGGCAUUCCUCGAUGUCACAAAGGAAUUCAGAUUUCCGCUGUUAGUGCCUCUGGGCAGGUCUGGCAGUGGACAACGCAAGCAGGACCCUGUGAUAAGAUCCAUUGAGUGAGGCAAAUCAAGUCAUCGUUACAAUAGGGAGCGAGCUGGUCCCGCAACCCGAUCUAGCAUCCCUCCAUCAGCAGACCUUUACACUUCCUCUGCUGGCUCUCCUCCUCUGGCCCCGAGGGCGCGAGCACUACGGGGAGCUGCACGGCUCUGUGACGCUGUGUGAGCAAUCGACACAAAAGACGGUGACCUCAUAUGGCAUGAAAGGAGACUCAAGAACGAUGUCUCAACUGGAGUCAACUACAAUGCCGACAGUCCUGAUUAUUAACCGUCACCUGAGUCAAGUUUGUUUGCUGAGAUGAAGAAAAUAGUCCCGUAUCGGGUUUUCCCGUCUCCUGUCUGAAUGAUCAAAUCACAGCACUAAUUGAGCAGUACUGGGAGGAAACGUCCUACUUAUCAGCAGCCAAGUGAGAAAAGUGUGGCGAUGACCGUUCAGCACCUUUUCUUUCACUGUGGUUUGGUUUGUGGGUUUAAACACGUGAGGGAAGGGAGUAGGAAUAAGGUGAGACCAGAAUUUCCUGAUCCAUUUUUGUCUCUGGGCCUUUGUAGACUCGCCAACAGAUCUCGGCCGACUGCACACGCACCUGCGGCAGCCCAAAGGGGGAGGAGGGAAAGACUAAGGAAGUCAAGCCGUAGACAGUCGUAAAUGAUCACAUCAAACUAAAGUCGUGGCAGGCAGGAAUCAGCACUGAGUGGCAAAGGCCAGCUGCCACUCUGCCAAAAUGCAGCGCGCUGAGGCUCUUUUCCUGGGAAACCACAUCAGAGGCAAACCGACAACAACAACCCUGACCUUUUCGAGCACUCGGCGUCCCUCCUUUUCACAUUCACACCUGCUUAUCAUUGCGGGGUAAUGUGAAAAUAACCCAGUGGCAGAGAGGGGGGCAGUGCAACAACAUUGGACGCUUUAAGUAAACAGCAAGACACUAACCUCCUAAUUUUGAACAUCUGCUUGAAGGCUGGAAGGUCACAACAAAGGAAUGCACAGGCCAUCUUCGUUUUAAACACGAUGCCCGUUUCCUUUCCUCCACUUCAUUACACCUGCCCGAUCUGAUUGGAUUGACAGUCUUAAAAACAAUUUUCGUGUGGCUAAAUGCGGUGGGCGAAACUUUACAAAGCCCUCUCGGCAUAAUACAGACCGCAUAUCGUUAACACCAAUUAGCAAUUUCAUUCGAAAUUGAACUGUCGCCACUUUUUCAUGUCAUGAUGAGCAACUUUGUGAGGAUUCGAAACUAAUCAUAUUGCCUUAUCAACGUGAUUUCUCGCAAAAGAUAAUAACACCCCAAACCCCAAUUUGCUUUUAAGGUAGCUGUUUAACUUUGCAAUUGGGAUGGGGUGCAAUUAGUACAUGUCAAUGAUUAUGGGGACUAUGUAGAAAAUGAAGGAUUCAAAAAUAAAUGGAUUAUUAUA